GAUCCAAUGGGAUAAAGACUCUAGGUCAGGCCAGGAGCUUAGUCUAAAGGAAACUCUGCCAUCGGGGACAUCAGCUGCUGUGGCCAGAGAAGAGAACAUGAUGGUCCAGGGUGCAGCUGCUGAAGAAGGAUCCCAGACUCUACCCAGAUCCCCAAAUACCAUCUCUUCUGCCUGUAACUGAGCCAGUAAAAGGAAAAAGGUAGAGCAGAACUUUGGACUGAGAUUUCUCUGUGGGAGCAACAGAUUGAAUUGAUAAUGGGAAAAUGUUUGUAUUGUUAACUUUUAUAAGGUGGCAGUAAACUUCAAGAAUUUUAUAGCGCUGGCGUAUUAUUUGGGUCAUAUUUUCAUCUGGUGCUCUUUGUUCACCCUGCUUGGUUGUGUAGC
rnacentral:lncRNA from 1 species